rnacentral:rRNA from 1 species
CCAGAGGACUACAAGUGAAAACUUAAAACUCUAAGGACUUGACGGUGUCCCACCCAUACUAGAGGAGCCUGUCCUAUAAUCGACACCCCACGUUACACCUUACCCCCCCUAGCCAUCCAACCUAUAUACCGCCGUCGCCAGCUCACACGGUGACUGCACCACCGUAAGCAAAAUCAUCAAACAUUAAAACGACAGGUCAAGGUGUAGUUAAUGGGGGGG